CAGCUAGUUGGCGGGGUAACGGCCCACCAAGGCUUAGAUCGGUAGCCGGCCUGAGAGGGCGCACGGCCACACUGGAACUGAAACACGGUCCAGACUCCUACGGGAGGCAGCAGUGGGGAAUUUUGCGCAAUGGGGGAAACCCUGACGCAGCAACGCCGCGUGGAGGAUGAAGUCCCUUGGGACGUAAACUCCUUUCGACCCGGACGAUAAUGACGGUACGGGUGGAAGAAGCCCCGGCUAACUUCGUGCCAGCAGCCGCGGUAAUACGAGGGGGGCAAGCGUUGUUCGGAAUUAUUGGGCGUAAAGGGCGCGUAGGCGGUGCGGUAAGUCACCUGUGAAACCUCUAGGCUCAACCUAGAGCCUGCAGGCGAAACUGCCGUGCUUGAGGGUGGGAGAGGUGCGUGGAAUUCCCGGUGUAUCGCUGAAAUG
rnacentral:rRNA from 1 species